UACAGAGGGGGCGAGCGUUGUUCGGAUUUACUGGGCGUAAAGGGCGCGUAGGCGGCGCGGUAAGUCACUUGUGAAAUCUCUGAGCUUAACUCAGAACGGCCAAGUGAUACUGCAGUGCUAGAGUGUGGAAGGGGCAAUCGGAAUUCUUGGUGUAGCGGUGAAAUGCGUAGAUAUCAAGAGGAACACCGGAGGUGAAGACGGGUUGCUGGGCCAACACUGACGCUGAGGCGCGAAAGCCAGGGGAGCAAACGGG
rnacentral:rRNA from 1 species